AGGGCAGAGGAGCUGGAUGAGGCUGGCAAGGCCAGAGCUCACAUCACCGAGGUGCCCACGGGGCCCUGGGUGACCAGGGUGCAGGAUCCCCGGGGGCUUCCCGUCUCUGGGGGCUUCCUGGGGGUGGGGGCAGCCUGGGACACCUGCCCUGAGGAGCAGCGCUGGGGCGAGAGGGGCUGGCUUCUCACCCUGCUCCAUGAACUCGACGCGUCCCGGCCUGCUGUUCUCAACCGACUGAGCUCGCCUAUGGUGCAGACUUCAGUGGGACAUCAAAUGUGCCAGAUGUUGCCAGAACAGGAACAUGGGGGAACUUGGCUGAUAGAAAUCCAAGAGCCGCACCCGCCUCCCCCACGCCCCGACGAGCCGCCCAGGACCCUGACCAGGAGACCAGGAGAAAGGCGGGCUGCUGGACCCUCGAUGGACCCCGGCGGCAGAGAGGCGAGCCGGCUCAUCUCGCUGGAGGAGAAAACCGGGUCUCCUCUCUUCCCCGCGUUCCUUCCGAGACCACGCGGGGGACCGAGCGGUGGGCGUUUCAUCUCCAAUUAUUUUCAGCCAAGGGAAAAAGCAGAUGGUAAAUAGCACUGAAAAAAAACUUUUUGAGCGCUAAUAUUAAUAAAAGAUGUGUGCGGGUGGCUUUGGCUGAGUCCUGGGGAGCCAGGGCCGCCCAUGCGCGGCGGGGGACGCAGAGGGCCCAGCGCAGGGCGCCCCGGGGGUUCCCGGGGCCAGUGUGGGUGACGGGGCACCCGCGGGAGCCCGACCUCUGGAGGGGUCCAGCCACGCAGCGCCUGCCAAGGGCCCGAGCUCCGCAGGGAGGCACGCCCAGCUCCCGGGGAAGGCUGGCGCCGGGCCUCCCACCCCCGGGCGGGGACGGCUCUCCUCUGCGCGCACAUAGGGGCGGGCAGCGUCCUCACCGGCCCACGCGGCCCUGCUCAGCCAGGCCCAGCGUCCAUCUGUCAGCAAGUCCUAUCGGAUGUCCGCGGGCCGCCCAGCUGUCCUCUGAGAGCCUGGAUUCCACGUUCAAGCAGAGACACUGAUCCGGCUUCUUCAGGAUUUAUGGGUUUCAUGGGGGUGGAAAGACCGACAGGCAGCGGGUCCUGGGUGCCGAGGCGGAAGGGCGAGUCCUGGGGACCCUCGUUUAUCCCCCAGAGCUCUGGAGCAGGUCAGGCGCUGUCGGUGGUUCCAGGGAGCAGAGCGGAUGCGAGCCCUGCCCUGCAGCAGCUUCUGCUCAGAGUCGGAGAGAAGUCAUCCUCCCGGGCACACUCGGUGUGUGCCGAUGACUGUCACGUUCAGCUAAUUUACAGGAAGUGACGAACGAGGACAGUGCCUGAAUGAAAGAAAAAGAAUGCCCGGAGAGCUACCCCGUGAGUCUGCUUCGCGCUGAUUUACUGCGGUCCUGGAGCUCAGGGAGUUAUGGGCUUGGAGGGGAGGCUAGAAGAGAGGAGGUACCGUGGACGUGGACACUGAACACAAACAUCUGCUGUAGGAGCCAGAAACCCCCAGCUGGGACCAUUCUGCUGCCUUUGCAGCUGAUCUUGUUUCUUUCUUUGCUUUGGCCACUGGGAAGCUCAAGAUGGAAGCAUGCUUUGUCUCUGGCAAAAACCAUGAAGGGUUUCACGUGAUGUCUCUUUCUGAAGUAAUCUAGCUCCUGGUUCUAGUUUUCCUUCCCUUCUGUUUGAUUUCCUUCAUGGCAUAUUUUAAAUUUGCAUUUUCUCUUACUUUGUAUGUGUGCCCCCUUUUUUGGUAUGCUGUUUGGAAGGCUUUGUGAAAUGCACCGGAGAAAAUGUAAACAAAAGAGAAUGGAUGUUGAUGGGGUUCAAGACAGAAAAAUCAUUCUUGCUUCCUGUGAUUCUGGAUGGAUCUGGGGCUUCCCAGGUGUCUCAGACGGUAAAGGAUUUGUCUGCCCAUGCAGGAGACGCAAGAACUCGGGUUCGAUCCCUGGGUUGGGAAGAUCUCCUGGAGGAGGAAAUGGCAACCCACCCCAGGAUUCUUGCCUGUCAAGGUGGGCUUGGGUGCAGAGCUCUGGCAGACCCUGGGGAGUGCCCAUCUGUACCUGUCAUUCAGAUACACUUGGAGCAGGAAUGCUCUGAGCCUUCUGUUCCCCCCCUGCUCCUCCUGCUGACCCACCAAGACUCCGGGCAAGGAGACGCCCCUUCCAAGAAGUGCCUCCUGUUCUGGCCGUGGCCCUCGGGGCUCUGUCUGCAGCCCGCGGGGCAGACACCGGCGCCGUGUCUCUGUUAGGUUCCACAUGGAACCGCGUUCGACAUCCUAUGAUAAACCAAAGUGGAAAAGAACCUGGAAGAGAAUGUGUAACCCUGGUGGUCCAGUGGUUAAGAAUCUGCUGGGCAAAGCAAGGGGCACCAGCUCGAUCCCUGGUCCGGGAAGAUCCCACGUGCCGCAGGGCAAACUAAGCCCAUGCAUCACAAGCCCUGAGCCCGCGCACCCUGGAGCCGGUGAGCCACAAAGAGAGGAACCACUGCAGUGAGAAGCCCUCGCACGGAACCUGGAGAGUAGCCCCCAGUCGCUGCAACUCGAGAAGGGCCGCUCGCAGCAAGGAAGACCCAGCGCA